UGUUGUUUUUAUAGGAUUUGUUAACAAUAAAAAAUAGAGCACUGCCAGAUGUUUCUUCCAAAUAACGAAGCCAAAGCUGUUAUUGAGUUCCCCUAAAUGACCACCGAGUCUGAAUGUCGAAAUUUAAUUUACAAAUUAGAUUUUUGAAAAAUGUUUCUGGUCUAAAAGCAGAGCUAAAACAACACACUCAGAUGUCCAAACUUGUAUCAGCCAAAUCUGAAUUAAUGAGAUCAAAUGGAGGCUUCACAAAACACGGCCUCAACCCCAAUUUCAGCAGAGGAAAAACUGCAUCCAGCUGGAAGUACUUGCUUCCUCAAUGCUUUUUUCACGCUAAAUUUUCCUGCAUCAAGUGCUUUUAAAAUCUACAUCAUGUGGGGAAAAUUGCCAAGAACCUUUAGUCCCCCAUCAGACUGCCCUCGAGAGCCGCUCUCACAAAGCCGGCCGGUCGGAGCAGUAGCUUUAGCUUAGCGGUUGCACCUCUGCAUGAUGUGGAAAGUAAAAAGGCUGUCGUCUGGCCUUAGGAGCACUUCAAAAGGCCCAGAGCAGUGUGAGCUGCAGUACAAGUGACAGACACACACAGGGGGUCAAUGGCUUGUGUGAGUGUGUGUGUGCGCGUGUCUACGUGUGCUUUGUACAUGUGUGCCGCCGCAUAGGUGCACGUGGGUUUGCGUGUGUGUUUAUACGUGUGUCAUGUGUGUGUGCAGAGGGAGGGGAGGCCUAUUAAAAAGCUGCCUGAGGAGAGGGCUUUCAGUUGGGAAUCUAUGGGGGGCAGAGAGGAUGGCAGGGCCAUUGUGUGUCAUAGUUCCAUCCUGAGAGCUGGAAUUAGAGCCUUUCUCCUCUGCUCGGCUGGAAGACUCUGUACCACCACCGACCCCGUGUUUAAUUAGAGCAGCUCUGGAGAGACAGCCGAGAAGGUGGAAGAGGGAGGAACACGAGCAGAAAGAAGAGAGCAACGUCAAGCGAGGAGGCCGGCAUGUCAAAGGACAGGACGGGGAAGUGGCAACAAUGACACAGGAUGAGGUUUGUUUGGUCCGGAGCACUCAGCACUAUCUGAUUCGCCGGAGGGACAACAGGAGGAAGGAAGGGCUGGACAUGAAGCAGCAGCUACGACUCUCACCUGGACAAACCUGAAGCUCUCCUGCUGCGAUUUACAUAUACGUGUGAAGUAGACUUUUCCUGAAUAGAUAACGAUGCUGCACUGAGACUACCACCAGCACAUAUUGUAGAGAGAAGCCCCCUAAUAAUGUGAGCACAAACUGAUAUAAAUCCUGCAGAGAAGAGCUAGUAUCAUCAAUAUUUGCACUUCAUCAAAGACGGAACCAAUGAAAUGCUGGCAGACGGGUAGUAGGGGUGGAUAUUUCUAUUUCUAUAUAUAAAUACACCGGAGCUUGUGAUCUAGUAGUCUGCGUAAGGGAAAAUGAGAAAUGUUUUAUGUCUUACUUCCUGACUAAGUGGAUUCAUUUGUUUGUUACAGCACUUUUAUAAUCAAAUUUCUCCCCUUCAUUAAGAUAAUUACUCAGACAGACUGGGACGCGAGAGCCCGAGACAAGACCAAGUAGUGUAAUUUAAUUAGAAAGACUUUCUUUCAUUCUGCUGAAGCUGCAGCGCACAAGGAAGACUGGACCAGAUAGAUGUGUGUGUUGAAGCUUCAAUAAGGAUUUACAAGGGGCCAAAGAUGAAGACGACCAGUAGAACUCCUCAACUGAGUCAUUAAAGUAUACAGCCAGUGAAGUACUCUAUUUCAUUAUGGCAGGAUUUAUUACUCUGUACUUUCCACUCAAGCAAGAAAUUGCCCCGAAGUACCUGAAGAGCAAAAAUGGAAGGGCGGGACUGGAUUGUGACCAUGCAGUUUUACCUUCACUGGGAUUUAAUUCACAUUCACUGCGAGUGGUGAUGUUCUCCAGCAGGUGGUGGUGCAGGGCAAUCAUAAACACUCACAAGCGCCACAUUGAGGCACACAAAGGAGAAUCAGCCUGAAGCCGAAACCUUUGUGUUCUUGUUUGACUGCCAACAAACUCCGCCCUGCUUCUUCUGGGUUGUUUUUUUUUUUUUAAAGUUUCCAUCCAACUUUUUUUUCCUGUUAUCGUAGAAAACAUGAGACAUUUACUGUGAUUAGACCAUACAGGAGCAGAUAAGCUCUCAGUAGUUAAUCCCACUGUUUGAUUCCUAUCUGGAACUGAAGGUCAAGUGCGGUAUUAGAGUACAGCCACCGACUAGUAUGCCAUUAAAUGAAAACCUUCUGACUCAAUUUUCUCCUUAACAACUGCAAUAAAUCAGCAGAGCGCCACCGCUGAGAGGAGCGUGCCUCUUACCCAGGGCUUGCCAGUUGUUCCAGCUCGGCCAGUUAGUUCAGUAUUGAUUCUCUGUCUCGCUGUUGUACCACUAAAACCAUCUGACCUAUGAAUGCUGAGCUCACAGCGCUGGCCUGAAAGUCCAAAGAGGGAGACACCAUGAGAGGGAAGGCUCUCCAGGAUCCGCAUUUUCACUAAAAACACCCGCCCUGUUAGUCCACCUGCUUCAGCCUCCACGACAACACGCACAUGCAUCGACCUUUAAAAGCUCGUUCUCUUCAUGCUGUGAUAAAUCGAUCAGCCUUUGGGCAGUCUGUAGAGAUUUCGCGGCUUUCUGCCAUUACGUUUAAAUAGCAAGAUGUUAAAACGAAGAUUAAAACGCUUUGGGAAGAGGUCAGAGCUGCAUGUGAGGAGAUUAUUUCAGAGGACCUCAAGUCGGUCUGCGUUUAAAAGAACAAAACUAUCAUAAAAAUGAAGAAAUAUUAAUGGAAAUGAUAAAAACUUGACAGCUCUGUUCAGGAAAAAAACAGAAUGACACAAAUUAAGCCAAACCUUCCACCAGAAAGAAUAUCUUACAAGUAAAGAAGUGUGAGGAAGUUUAGGGACCCUUUAUGAUAGAGGUGUCAAACAUGCAUCCCGGAGGCAAACAUCAGCCCUCCAGAGGGUCCAAUCUGGCCCAUGGGUCGACUUUGUAAAGUGUCACAGAGAAGACAUUAACUGCAGAUUGUAAAUUUGUAAAACUGUAAGUUUAAAAUAAUUUCUAGACCAUGACGAGUUGUUUUGAUCAUAAAACACUGUAUUGCUUAUUGUUCUUUUGUCAUGUUGUGCCUCAUUUUUGUAAUAUUUUGCCUUAAUUUUGUCGUUUUUCUUUGUCUGACUUAUUGUUUUUCUCAUACAUAGUCUCUGGUCUCAUGUUUUUAUCAUUUUGUGUCUUUUCGUCUUGCUUGUGUUUUUGUUGUAUUUUUGUCAUUUUGUUUUGCUUUAUUCACUUUUGUCGUUUGUUUAAUUUUGUCUCAUUUUUGUUGUUGAUUUGUAACUUUUUGUCUAAUAUUUUGGGGGCUUGUUGUUUGUUUGUGUCAUUUGUCUCAUUUUUUUUGUCAUUUUCCGUUUCAUUUUUGCAAUAUUUUGUCUUGUUUUUGUUUUUUUUGUCAGACUUUUGUCAUUCCGAUCAUUAAGUAAAAUACUAUGUUGUUCAGCUCCAGAUACCUGUCACUAAAUGUUUUGUGUCUUUGUAGAUGUAAACUGAGGCAUAAUGUUGUUGAAAUUGAAUUUAUUUUCUUCAGAAAUUUCAAUUUGUUCAUAAUAUUUAAUAAAAAGAUCAUUCAUUAAAUGGGAA